GACGUAGGGCGCGAGCGUUGUCCGGAUUUAUUGGGCGUAAAGAGCUCGUAGGCGGCUUGUUGCGUCGACUGUGAAAACCCGCGGCUUAACUGCGGGCUUGCAGUUGAUACUGCCAUGACUAGAGUCCGGUAGGGGAGAGUGGAAUUCCUGGUGUAGCGGUGAAAUGCGUAGAUAUCAGGAGGAACACCGGUGGUGUAGACGGCUCUCUGGACCGUAACUGACGCUGAGACACGAAAGCGUGGGUAGCAAACAGG
rnacentral:rRNA from 1 species